rnacentral:tmRNA from 1 species
GGGGCUGCUUGGUUUUGACAGCUCGUAUGUGGGAACGUAAGCAUGCCGGACGUUGUAAGCAGGUUCCGUAACAGCUAACUUACAUGCCAGAAUAAAUGGCGAAGAAAAUACUUUUGCUUUCGCUGCCUAACAAAGGUUAGUCACGAAGCUGUCUCCCCGGAAGUUCAUCCUCCCGACGUCCGGACCGAGGCAUCGGAAAUGAGAGGAUAGGAAAUGGCCGCCUCGUGCCACUUCCGAAAUUUUAGAGGAUAAGUCAAAGGACGGUUUAGCCUUGGACCAACCUUUGAACGAAAACCAAAGCAAGGAUAAGCAUGUAGAAAGCGUUUUUGCAGCGUGUUUGGACGAGGGUUCGACUCCCUCCAGCUCCACUA